GUGAGGCUCUCGCCUUAACAGAUCCUGCAGCAGAUGGGAGGUUAUGCCACUCCUGCUAAGCUGAGGAUGAACUUCCUAGCACCUACCUCUACAAUAAAUAAUAUCAGAUACCAUUUCUCUGUAGCCUUGACAGGGAAGAUAAGAUUCAUAAAAGCUGCUGGGAUGCCAGGAAAAGCCACAAUAUGAGGUGUACCACCAUCUGGGAUGUUGUCAUGUACUUACUCUACAACCAUAAUCCACUAGGAUCUUCAGUUCAGCAGAUCAAAGCCAGGAAGAUUGUUGGGCCAUCUUUCUCCUGGAUAACACUAAAGAGAUAAUUAACAUGAGCGCGUCCAGGAUCAAUAUCAGGAUGUGGAUUUUUAGCAUCUGGAACUAAAUUUCUCACUAAUAAGAGGCUUAUUUUUUCAUUUAAUGGAACUCUUCUAAAAGGCAAGUGUCUGCCAUCUCAUCUGAUCACAGUAAAUGACCUUCCUCUUUAAAGAUAACCCGAGCUUAUCGGAUUUAAACUCAAAAUCCUCUCCUAACAGCGAUUGCUGAUAAACACUGAAGUUGCUGAGAAAGAGAGACUGUGGUGUGGUACCCAGUGACUGCACUCCAUGUGUAUGGAGUGACUGCACAAUAUGUUGGAUGAAGCCAAGAAUGUGCUCUGUCUGUGCUUUGAGCUGACCAAAACCACACGACCAUGUCAGGAAGAAGCAGGUUGCUUAUUAAAUGUGCAGGAGCUGUGUUCCAGCGCGAUGUAUCACACAGUCUGCCAGAUGCUGUCCUUAGGAGCGAGGCAAAUCUGCAACUCACAGGAAAAGAGUUAAUUUUCCAAAAUAGCUUUGCUUUUCAGAGCUUAGAUACAUUUAAAUUAAAAUGAAGCCAGCGAAUGCCCAUAAAGAGCCAAAUGAGUUAAAAGCUUGCAAGUUUUCUGCCUAAUUCCUUCAGUUGAACUGGUCUGGUUUGGUCUGCUGAGGAGCACCAGAGAGAUCUGACAACAGUUGUUCUUUGGAUGGAAGAAUGGGUUUCUCCUUGAAGAGCUGCUUUGGGGACAUUAAAAUUGAAAGUGGAAAUGCCACAGCACGAAACACUCAAAGUGGCAUUCUGACACAGUCGAGGAGGGAAACAUAUUGCAUCCACAUUGGUAGAAACACAGAUGUGCCCAUCAGGUUAAAAGUGCAGUUAUGCUUUCCAGGGAUGUAGGCAUAUCCUGAGAUGAUUAAACUUCACUGAACCACUGCAGUGGUCCUUUAUAAACCUCAAAGUCUUCACCCACAUGGUUAAGUUGGGAGGAAUCCACAGUGGCCAACAUGCAUUCCUCUUCAUGCUGACCUGAACAAGGAGUGCCAGUGUUUCUUGUCCACAGGUGGCUGAAGCGGUUCGUGUUGAGUUGGCUGCUGUCUAAGCAGCAUAGAAAAUGUGGGAGGAGCAUAACAGAG
ensembl:lncRNA